UACGUAGGGUGCAAGCGUUGUCCGGAAUUAUUGGGCGUAAAGGGGAGGUAGGUGGUCUUGUUUGUCUAGGGUGAAAUCCCAGGGCUUAACCCUGGAAGUGCCCUAGAAACGGCAAGACUAGAGUUCUAGAGGGGGUCGUGGAAUUCCCGGUGUAGCGGUGAAAUGCGUAGAGAUCGGGAGGAACACCAGCGGCGAAGGCGGCGACCUGGAUAGAUACUGACACUCAACUACGAAAGCGUGGGGAUCAAACAGG
rnacentral:rRNA from 1 species